AAAAAGUUAGUUAAAUUAUAACUUAAAUAUGUCAUAUUUAAAUUAUUAGAUAUAAAUCUAGUACUUUUUG
rnacentral:tRNA from 1 species